rnacentral:rRNA from 1 species
CCUUAAAAGGUAAUUUUAACCUAUCCUAUUUGGCGGCCUUCAAUCUUAUUAAAGGAACUUGUUGUUUAACCGAUGGUACGCGCUAUUUUUAACUUAGACCUAAUUUUUAUACCUCCGUCCAAAGGAUAAAAUUAAAUAUUUUAUUCGCCCCAUACCUCUUCAAGCAACAAUGUCAGGUCGAGGUGAAGUAAAUGUUUAAGUUUCAAUGAGUUAUCAAUAAAUAUAAUUUAUGGACUUUUAUUAAAAACUAAAAAUCGAAUUAAGAUUUAAAAGUAUUUUCAACUUAGUACAUUGAUAAGAAUAAGCAAAAAAGGUGUACAUAUCGCCCGUCGCCCUCGUCUAAAGAGGAGGUAAGUCGUAACACAGUUAAUAUACUGGAAAGUGUAUUAGGUGUAUACUUUAUUAGCUUUUAGUAUUUCACUUACACUGAAAAGAUCCUAUUUUUCUUCAGUCCCAAUUUUUAUGAAUAAAAUCUUUGCACUUUUACUUGUUUAAUUCAGGCCUUCAAAAACUGAAAAGGACCACUAUAAAAUUUUCUAAGUAAAUCUAUGUACCUUUUGUAUCAGGGGUUUUCAAAUCGUAAUGUUAAUUUCAAACUCCCGAAACAAGACGAACUUCGCAUCCUAGUAAAAGUUAUGACAUAAACAAUAUAAACUAUACGAAGUUGAGAUAUUCUUUUCAAGUUUUCCUUUAUCUGGUUCACUCCCCCCAACACAAUACAAAGAAUAAGCUUUGUAUUUAAGGUUUUCAUUCUCCCUUAACCCUAAUCUAGAUUUAAUAGUAUCCACACAGUAUUAAAACUUUUCCCUUUUUCUUACCCAGACAUACCCCUGAGUGACCCAUCCCAUCCCCUUACAAUGAAAAUAUCAGUAAAAUUUUUCUUUCCCUAUUCUUUGAAACCUCUCCUCCCCAUAAAUUUACAUUGAGAUUAUGAACUAGGCCCCAAUCAAUUGACUGUUUACCAAAAACAUAGCUAAUAGCUUUCAAUUACUAGUAGUACCUGCUCCA